GUCAGUGUUCCAGACUUGUUUUAUGUGCAAAGCAUUGAAGCGCAUUAUUAAUUGUGACUGUUUCUUAAAAUGAAUGCACAUUUGAUUCUUUGAUGGGUAGAGGCCCAUGAAAGCAUGUAUUAUCUAGGUUAGACCAGAUUUGGCCCCCGCCUGCUGUGUUUAUUUAUUUCCUGGGGUUGCCUGGACAUCUUUUGUUGCCUCUGCUCCUGUGCUGAGGGAUGUUCUGUGUGUAAACUGAGCUGUCUCUGACUUCCUGCACCUUUUCAGCUGCAGCAAGGUAGCUCAGGUAUUAGGUGGGAUGAGUGAGAAAGGAAGAGAAAGCUACAACACUGGGACAAGCACCAAAGCUUUGGAUGCCUUUGGUGGAUAAGAUAUAUAAAUCAGCUUGAGAUUGUAGAAGAUGUGAAACAAAGCUAGAGCAACCUC
ensembl:lncRNA